GUUCGAUCAUGGCUCAGAUUGAACGCUGGCGGGAUGCUUUACACAUGCAAGUCGAACGGCAGCACGGACUUCGGUCUGGUGGCGAGUGGCGAACGGGUAGAGUAUGUAUCGGAACGUGCUUACAAAGUAGCGGAUAACUACGCGAAAGCGUAGCUAAUACCGCAUACGCCCUUCGAGGAAAGCGGGGGACCUUCGGGCCUCGCACUGAUAAGAGCGGCCGAUAUCGGAUUAGCUAGUUGGUGGAAGUAACGGCUCACCAAGGCGACGAUCCGUAGCUGGUUUGAGAGGACGACCAGCCACACUGGGACUGAGACACGGCCCAGACUCUACGGGAGGCAGCAGUGGGGAAUUUUGGACAAUGGGGGAAACCCUGAUCCUGCAUCCCGCGUGUGCGAUGAAGGCCUUCGGGUUGUAAAGCACUUUUGGCAGGAAAGAAACGGCACGGGAUAAUACCCCGUGCAACUGACGAAACACCUGCAGAAUAAGCGCAACUAACUACGUGCCAGCAGCCAUGGUAAUACGUGGGGUGCAGCCAAUCGGAAUUACCGGGCGUAAAGCGUGCGCAGGCGGUUCGGAAAGAAAGAUGUGAAAUCCCAGAGCUUCUUUGAACUGCAUUUUUAACUACCGAGCUAGAGUGUGUCAGAGAGUGGAAUUCCCGCGAUGUAGCAGUGAAAUGCAUGAAUGUGCGGAGAACACCGAUGGCGAAGGCAGCCUCCUGGGAUAACACAGCGCUCGCUGCACCGAAAGCGACUGGGAGCAAACAGGAUUAGAUACCCUGAAGCGAGUCCCGCCCUAAACGAUGUCAACUAGCUGUUGGGGCCUUCCGGGCCUUGGUAGCGCAGCUAACGCGUGAAGUUGACCGCCUGGGAGUACGGUCGCAAGAUUAAAACUCAAAGGAAUUGACGGGGACACACAAGCGGUGGAUGAUAUGAUUAAUUCGAUGCAACGCGAAAAACCCCACCUACCCUUGACAUGUCUGGAAUCCGAGGUUGGGAGUGCUCGCAAGAGAACCGGAACACAGGUGCUGCAUGGCUGUCGUCGGCACUGAUGUCGUGAGAUGUUGGGUUAAGUCCCGCAACGAGGCGCAACCCUUGUCAUUAGUUGCUACGAAGGGCACUCUAAUGAGACUGCCGACAAACCGGAGGAAGGUGGGGAUGACGUCAAGUCCUCAUGGCUAUGGGUAGGGCUUCACACGUCAUACAAUGGUCGGGACAGAGGGUCGCCAACCCGCGAGGGCCAAUCCCGGCUUGAUCGUAGUCCGGAUCGCAGUCUGCAACUCGACUGCGUGAAGUCGGAAUCGCUGUUAAUCGCGGAUCGGCAUGUCUUACGGUGAAUACGUUCGGGUCUUGUACACACCGCCGUCCACUACAUGGAGUGGGUUUUGCAGAAGUAGUUAGCCUAACCGUAGGAGGGCGAAUUACCACGGUAAGUUCAUGACUGGGGUGAAGUCGUAACAAGGUAA
rnacentral:rRNA from 1 species